UGAUGUCACUAGCAGGUGAGUAGAUGAUGCUGAUGUCACUAGCAGGUGUGUAGAUGAUGCUGAUGUCACUAGCAGGUGUGUAGAUGAUGCUGAUGUCACUAGCAGGUGUGUAGAUGAUGCUGAUGUCACUAGCAGGUGUGUAGAUGAUGCUGAUGUCACUAGCAGGUGAAGAGAAGCAUGAUGUCACUAGCAGGUGUGUAGAUGAUGCUGAUGUCACUAGCAGGUGAGGAGGAGCAUGAUGUCACUAGCAGGUGAAGAGAAGCAUGAUGUCACUAGCAGGUGUGUAGAUGAUGCUGAUGUCACUAGCAGGUGUGUAGAUGAUGCUGAUGUCACUGGCAGGUGAGGAGGAGCAUGAUGUCACUAGCAGGUGUGUAGAUGAUGCUGAUGUCACUAGCAGGUGUGUAGAUGAUGCUGACGUCACUAGCAGGUGUGUAGAUGAUGCUGAUGUCACUAGCAGGUGUGUAGAUGAUGCUGACGUCACUAGCAGGCGAGUAGAUGAUGCUGAUGUCACUAGCAGGUGAGUGGAUGAUGCUGAUGUCACUA